rnacentral:rRNA from 1 species
UACGGGGGGGAGCAAGCGUUGUUCGGAUUUACUGGGCGUAAAGGGCGCGUAGGCGGCCACCGCAAGUCGACUGUGAAAUCUCCGGGCUUAACCCGGAAAGGUCAGCCGAUACUGCGGGGCUAGAGUGCAGAAGGGGCAACUGGAAUUCUCGGUGUAGCGGUGAAAUGCGUAGAGAUCGGGAGGAACAUCAGUGGCGAAGGCGGGCCAUCUGGAUCAACACUGACGCUGAGGCACGAAAAGCGUGGGGGAGGCAAACAGG